rnacentral:rRNA from 1 species
UACGUAGGAUCCAAGCGUUGUCCGGAUUUACUGGGUGUAAAGGGUGCGCAGGCGGACUGGUUAGUCUGGGGUGAAAUCUCAUCGCUUAACGGUGAAACUGCCUUAGAUACUGCCAGUCUUGAAUCAGCGAGAGGUUCGUGGAAUUCCGAGUGUAGCAGUGAAAUGUGUAGAUAUUCGGGAGAACACCAGUGGCGAAGGCAGCGAACUGGCGCUCGAUUGACGCUCAGGCACGAAAGCAUGGGGAUCAAACAGG